GCUGCCAUCGUCUAGCGGCUAGGACGCCCGCCUCUCGAGCGGAGAACGCCGGUUCGAGUCCGGUUGGCAGUGCCA
rnacentral:tRNA from 1 species